GUUAAAAAGCUCGUAGUUGGAUUUCUGGCGGGGACCCAAGUACCCCUGGUGGGUGUGCUCGGGCCCGGCCAUCCUUCUGUAAACUUUCGCGCGUCCUUCACCGGUCGGCAAAGGGAUCAGAUAAUUUACCUUGAGUAAAUUAGAGUGUUUCAGGCAGGCUUAGCCGGAAUACAUUAGCAUGGAAUAAUGGAAUAGGACUGAGGUCUCGUUGUUGGUUACGCGGACUACAGUAAUGAUUAAUAGGGACAGUUGGGGGCAUUAGUAUUUAUUAGCUAGAGGUGGAAUUCUCUAAUUUGAUAAAGACUAACUUAUGCGAAAGCAUUUGCCAAGGAUGUUUUCAUUAAUCAAGAACGAAAGUUAGGGGAUCAAAGACGAUCAGAUACCGUCCUAGUCUUAACCAUAAACUAUGCCGACUCGGGAUUGGGGGCGUGUUAUUAUCCGCCUUCAGCACCGUAUGAGAAAUCAAAGUCUUUGGGUUCCUGGGGGGGAGUAUGGUCNCAAAGGUUUGAAAAC
rnacentral:rRNA from 1 species